UUUUUUUUCUUUAUAUUUUUAGCCAUAACUGCUUUUGCUGUUUUGCUAAGGUAAGUUAUAUCUAUGCUAACUCGUUGCUCUCAUUUUUUUAAAAUUGUUUUUGUUGUCAAGUUUUAUAAACUUCCAGCACCGUUUUAUUACUCAUUUGGUCAUUUUAUAAAUUCUGUCUAACUUUUGGUUCAUUUGUUUCGAUAUCUAUUCUGGAGCUCGAUAAAUAAUAAAAACAAACCCCACACUUUCCUAAUGUAGCGCAGUUUUACAGAUGAAAAACAUGAGUAAGAUGUAACAUUUCAGUGAGAUAUUGUUGUUGACAUGUAUUAGAAGGUCCUUUGUAGAAACCUACCCUAAUUGGAUUAGCUUUGAUUACAGUGCCUUUCACGUCUAUGACGCACUUUCAUUUAUAAAGUUCGUAAAAUAUAGUGUUAACAUCACAGGGGGCGGGGCUGGUAGACCCUGUAGGGGUUUUUAUUUACUUAUUUAUUUACUCCAUUCUUGAUUCUAAUUAUGUUCUAUUACUUUGCAAAAAGCCGGAAAAAAAAAAAGAAAAGAAUCACGGCUCCGCAGAUUACUUUGAAAUUCAAUGAACGUGGACUCAUUGUGGCUGUAACAAUAUCCACAUCCUUGGAGACUGCGGUUAUUUGACAGAGCAAAUCCCCAGCGUGUCAAGGUUGUCAUAUUCACCCCCCCCCCCCCCCCCCAUCAACCCCCCAUGUCCACAUGCAAAUACGCAGUCGUAAUCAGAUGCAGCAGCAUGACGCGUUUAUUACUUUGUCAAUCAUCCCGAUGCCACUGUAUUGAAACAAAGCGCAACCACGUCCGCUAAUAGAAUUAAAGAGAAGCCCCUUCAGCGGCAGGUCGGUUCUGUUUGACGCCCGAAACCAUAUGUAAAGGCUCAGGAGUCGAGCUCGGAGGGUCAGGGGCUCUUUAUGAGGUUUUGGCACUAACAUCCAAGUUUUCAUCAGGAGAGCCCUGGAGGUCAGUACAUCACAGAGGCCUGGAUGGGUUUUACAAAACGUGAAAGUGACAGAUCUGGACUGCAGGCAGGCCAGCCAAAAACCAACUAACAACUGCAGGGUGAGGGUGAGAGUGAGAAACUUCUGUCUGUGAAUUGCUGCCGUCGUCUGUGGUGUCAUCAGUUGAUCUCUGGUUGAUAACCCGCCCCAUCGAACACCCUGAAGUUAACCAUGAAGAAACACACGGAGGUGUUCGCCCGUCCUGCAGAUCCUCCAACUACUCCACUCUGAACAUAUCAGCUGCCUGGACAAAACCAAGUUCUGACGGUGAGAAGGAACCACUGUCAGCCCUUUCUUUCAAUGCAAACAUGUGGACAUCUUCAUAUAAAACACCACAAGGACAUGUUUGUGUGUUUAACUUGACAACAUAUUAGCACUGUGGAUUAGUGACAUAUCUCUAAAGAUUUCUGUUGUGAAAAUCCAAGUGAAAAUGUGUUCACAGGACAUCACAGUACCUACAUAAAAAUAGUUAAAAACAUGUAUCAAUUAACAAUUAAAAUAAAAUGAUCUAAUGUGACUAAAAACACAUUUGUUUUUAAUACAAAAACACAUUUUUUUUUAAUACAAAAAACUCAAAAGGGUAGCAUAGAAAUAGUCAUAAGACAUAAUACAAAAACUAUUAGUAUAUUACGACUACUUGUAAUAUGUUUUUCAG